AACGAACGCUGGCGGCAUGCCUAACACAUGCAAGUCGAACGGGAUCCUGGCUUCGGCCAGGUGAGAGUGGCGGACGGGUGAGUAACGCGUGGGAACCUGCCCAUUGGUCUGGGAUAACUGCGGGAAACUGCAGCUAAUACCGGAUGUACCCGAGAGGGGAAAGAUUUAUCGCCGAUGGAGGGGCCCGCGUCAGAUUAGGUAGUUGGUGAGGUAACGGCUCACCAAGCCUACGAUCUGUAGCUGGUCUGAGAGGAUGAUCAGCCACACUGGGACUGAGAUACGGCCCAGACUCCUACGGGAGGCAGCAGUGGGGAAUAUUGGACAAUGGGGGGCAACCCUGAUCCAGCAAUGCCGCGUGAGUGAUGAAGGCCUUAGGGUGUAAAGCUCUUUUACCAGGGACGAUGAUGACGGUACCUGGAGAAUAAGCCCCGGCUAACUUUCGUGCCAGCAGCCGCGGUAAU
rnacentral:rRNA from 1 species